rnacentral:rRNA from 1 species
AUUGCCCUAGUAACGGCGAGUGAAGCGGCAAGAGCUCAAAUUUGAAAUCUGGCCCCCUCGGGGCCCGAGUUGUAAUUUGUAGAGGGUGCUUUGGCGUUGGCUGUGGUCUAAGUUCCUUGGAACAGGACGUCGCAGAGGGUGAGAAUCCCGUAUGUGGCCGCCAGUCUUCGCCGUGUAAAGCCCCUUCGACGAGUCGAGUUGUUUGGGAAUGCAGCUCUAAAUGGGAGGUAAAUUUCUUCUAAAGCUAAAUAUUGGCCAGAGACCGAUAGCGCACAAGUAGAGUGAUCGAAAGAUGAAAAGCACUUUGGAAAGAGAGUCAAAAAGCACGUGAAAUUGUUGAAAGGGAAGCGCUUGCAGCCAGACUUGCCCGCAGUUGCUCACCCAGGCUCGCGCCUGGUGCACUCUUCUGCGGGCAGGCCAGCAUCAGUCCGGGCGGUUGGACAAAGGCCUGCUAAAUGUACCUCUCCUCGGGGAGGACUUAUAGGGUAGGCAACAUACAACCAGCCCGGAUUGAGGUCCGCGCAUCUGCUAGGAUGCUGGCGUAAUGGCUGUAAGCGGCCCGUCUUGAAACACGGACCAAGGAGUCUAACAUCUAUGCGAGUGUUU